UUGUACCGUUCUAGGUACAACUCAUAUCAAUGUUUUUCAUACAAUAUGAAAUACAUAAAUCACCUUUCUACGUAUGCAUAAAGGAUUCUAUUUACGCAUUAUUUCUUUGGGAGUCAAAGGGUACGUUCCCUUUGAGAAGGGCAACUUGCUAGUCUCACUAGAGUCGUCCUUCUAAUUGAAGUUUAUCAUCAUAUGAGAAACUUCCUAGCAUCUUUUUGUCUAUUAUUAGGGAUUGAUAUAAUCCAAUUAUAUCUUGAAAUAUAUCAUUAUAGAUUUCCAUCCCAUGUAUAUAGACUAUGUCUCCCAUAUCCAUUCUAUCAUUAUAGAAUGUUUAAAGUCAUAACUUUAACGAAGAAGUAUUCUUUUCAUUUCCAAAAUUAAUAUAUAUAUCAUAUAUAUAUUCAAUUUUUAGGAAUAUGAUUAACUCCCACUAAUCUUUUGUAAACUUAGUAAACAAAAGAUUCAUUUACAUCUUUAUGAGAAAUCAAACGAUUUGAUCCUUUCUCUCAUAAGACGCUUAUAGCUCCCACUAGCUUGCUAAGAUUCAUGAUGGAUGGAUCUCUACAACUUACAUGUCUUGUGAUUCAUAGUUUUAGACAUAUAUAUUAUCAAGACUAUCUUAAUAAUGGUUUCGGAAACCCAUAUUAUGUCCAAACAUUGAAUCACCAUUUAGUU
rnacentral:lncRNA from 1 species